ACUAUACUUCACCGGCGUACGAGUAUGUAAGUACAUCGCCGUGUCCGUGCUACAGUGCUGCUCCACUGUACCGGGUAUUGUGCAAGUAGCUGUUGAACUCUCUGCUACUUUUGGAGAAUUAUGUUAAACAUUUGCACGAAAACACGUUCGGACUUUCAAUGAAAUGCGUAAAUUGUGUUCGCAGUCUUAAUUUAAUGUUGCCUUGGGACAUAAUGUGUUUAAUACAAUCCAUUGACAAUGGGCAAUAGUCUUAUUCAAGAUAAAAGGUGCUAAAUGCAGCGACCAAUAUAGACAUUUGCAUGACUGAUCUUACUUGGGGUCAAUGUCACCGUGUACCUACUGCUCACGAACUUGCAGUAAUUGCAGAGAAUGAGUGAAAUAAAUCGAUGUUGUUUAUAUCCUGCGAUCUACAUUCGUCGAGGCAGUGCAUGCGAGAUCAUUGUGAGAUAAUUAUGUCUCACGUCAUACCAAUUUCACCCAUUCACGCUUACAUUAAUUGAAGAUCAUCACUAUUACUAUCUACUGUACACUAUUAUGAUCAGAUACUGCUUAGUAAUUUGUAUUCGCACAAAUUCAUUAUUUACUUCAUUAAACUUUUUGUAAAAAUCAACAGCUGAGUUCCUCGGCCGUUCUUCUUGGCUGAAAUUGCGUUCCGAAUGAGCGGCAAUGAAAAAAAAUACUAUUCAAUAAUGCUUAAAUUUAAGUUAACUUUAAUAAAAAUAUUUCUUUCAUUCAUCUUUCACAUUCAUGUCUUUAUAUACUCGUUAGUAUAUCUAGAUAGAUAUAAAUCAAAUUUAGUACUUAGAUCACUAUAUGUUAGAUUAACACAAAGGAUAAUUUUUUUCUAAUUCACGUGAGCAUUGCCACGGGAUAAGUCUCUAUAAACAGCGUAUAGAUGGACGAUAACAAUCUAAACAAUGGAUUAUUCAAAAAAAAAUAAGCGAAUCAUAUUCAAAUGACAACUUUUCCUACACAAAUAUACAUUUUAGUACGUAAGUAUUAAUUAAUCGAUCAAUCAAUCAUUUAUGUGCAUAAACAUAACUGUUAUGAGUUUAAUAUUGUAGAAUAUGUAAUACUAGCGACCCGCUCCGGCUUCGCACGGGUGCAAUGCUGAUACUAAAUACACCUAGAUAGACAUAUAUCAUCGCGGAAUUUUUUGUUGACCUAUUUACUAAUAAGUAUUCAUUCAAAUACUAAGUUAGUUCACUCUGAUGAUUUUUUGUGUGGCUAAAUAUUAUUAUAUAAAUAUCAAAUGUUAUUGUGGCAAGCUAUAGAUAGCUACUGUCAUAAUUGUAUUCCUUAUAUAUUGUUAAUUAA